rnacentral:rRNA from 1 species
AGAAUCAACGCUGGCGGCGUGCCUAACACAUGCAAGUCGAACGAGAAAGGGACUUCGGUCCUGAGUAUAGUGGCGCACGGGUGAGUAACACGUGAAUAAUCUACCUCCGAGUGGGGAAUAACUGGAAGAAAUUUCAGCUAAUACCGCAUAACACUUACGAGUCAAAGCAGCAAUGCGCUUGGAGAGGAGUUCGCGGCAGAUUAGUUAGUUGGCGGGGUAAUGGCCCACCAAGACGAUGAUCUGUAUCCGGCCUGAGAGGGCGCACGGACACACUGGAACUGAAACACGGUCCAGACUCCUACGGGAGGCAGCAGUGGGGAAUUUUGCGCAAUGGGGAAACCCUGACGCAGCAACGCCGCGUGGAGGAUGAAGUAUCUUGGUACGUAAACUCCUUUCGAUGGGGAAGAUAAUGACGGUACCCAUAGAAGAAGCCCGGCUAACUUCGCGCCAGCAGCCGC